UACGAAGGGUGCAAGCGUUACUCGGAAUUACUGGGCGUAAAGCGUGCGUAGGUGGUUGUUUAAGUCUGUUGUGAAGGCCCUGGGCUCAACCUGGGAAUUGCAGUGGAUACUGGGCGACUAGAGUGUGGUAGAGGGUAGUGGAAUUCCCGGUGUAGCAGUGAAAUGCGUAGAGAUCGGGAGGAACAUCCAUGGCGAAGGCAGCUACCUGGACCAACACUGACACUGAGGCACGAAAGCGUGGGGAGCAAACAGG
rnacentral:rRNA from 1 species